rnacentral:rRNA from 1 species
CAAUAGCGUAUAUUAAAGUUGUUGCAGUUAAAAAGCUCGUAGUUGGAUUUCUGGGAGGGUGCCAAUGUCCGCCUUUGCGCGUGUGCAGCGGCGCCCUUCCAUCCUUCUGUUAACGUCUCUUGGCAUUCAUUUGCUGGUGGCGGGCUCAGAUAUUUUACCUUGAGAAAAUUAGAGUGUUUUCAGGCAGGCUAGGCCGGAAUACAUUAGCAUGGAAUAAUGGAAUAGGACUAUAGUCUCUUUGUUUGGUUUGAGGGACUGCAGUAAUGAUUAAUAGGGAUAGGUUGGGGGCAUUCGUAUUUAACUGUCAGAGGUGAAAUUCUUGGAUUUAGUUAAAGACGGACUACUGCGAAAGC